CGGGGGCGGGGGCGGCGCGCGGCCGGCUUCCAAGCUCCGCGGGCGCACCCGGGAGUGCGUGCGCGGGGGUCCCGGCCCCCUCCGCGGCAGGCAGAUGGGGGCGGCGCGGCGGGGCCCGCGGCUCGUAGGGGCGGCGCCCGGCGGGCCGCGCUCCGCGCCGGGCUCAGAGCCGUCCCCACCCCCACCCCCACCGCGGUGCACUGCGGCGGUGCGAGCGGGGGCGGCCAUGAACUCCGCCGCCGAGACUCGGCGAGCGCGCGCGCGGGGCCGCCGCCGCCGCCGCCCGGCCGCUACCGGAGCCCGCUCGCCGGCCUGCGCGGUCUCUAGGGCGCCCGGUCCCUUCGCCCGGCCCGGCCCCGGCCCACGCCCGGCGCCGCUCGCAUCGCGCCGCCAGCGGCCGCCCGCACAUCCUGGAACUGGCUGGUGCCCCAGAGCUCGGCGAGAACGCGCUUCUUCCGGGCCGCCCCGCCGCGCCGGCGGCCGGCCGCCCCCGCGCCCCCGCGGCCGCCUCGCGGAUGGCCCGGGCCCCUUCCGCACCCCCGGCCCGCGCUUACCUGCAGCCUGGCACAGCCACAGACACUCGCCGUGGGCUCCCCGCGCUCACUGCACGCAGGCCGGGGACGGGUUGGACGCGGGGCGCGGGGGCACGUGA
rnacentral:lncRNA from 1 species